GUUGCUAUCGGUUAUGAUGAUAAACGCAAUGUUUCUGCUAGCCUUUCAAUUUUGUUAGUCAAAUCAUGAUGCAGUAAAUGUGACUCGCAAGCGUAAAUACUUUUAUUUGUAAUUGGUCACUUCCUCAUCAGGUAGAGUAAUCAUAACAGGACCUGGUUUUGAAGGCACUAGGACACUGACCUCUCAACAAACCUGUCAAAAGCUACGAGGAUCUUCAUCCAGAAUGGUCUGGACCCACUGGAACUCUCCCUGGAUCUUUCUUCUGCUGUUGUGCACUCUGGGCUCAUCUGUCCCGUGUGGCCAGGUUUACCAUGGAGUUUGCUACUGUUUUGCUCGUUAUGAAUCAAG